rnacentral:rRNA from 1 species
UACGUAGGUGGCAAGCGUUGUCCGGAAUUAUUGGGCGUAAAGCGCGCGCAGGCGGUCCUUUAAGUCUGAUGUGAAAGCUCACGGCUCAACCGUGGAGGGUCAUUGGAAACUGGAGGACUUGAGUACAGAAGAGGAAAGCGGAAUUCCACGUGUAGCGGUGAAAUGCGUAGAGAUGUGGAGGAACACCAGUGGCGAAGGCGGCUUUCUGGUCUGUAACUGACGCUGAGGCGCGAAAGCGUGGGGAGCAAACAGG